rnacentral:lncRNA from 1 species
CCAAAUACUCAUGCUUGCUAGAUUAGGAAAACCUCCACUUAUAUUUCAACCUAUAAGCAUUGAGGAUAGUUAACCUGUGUAGACCCUAAGGAACUAGUCAUGCAGUUAAAGUCAAUAUUAUGUGCUCUCCAUCCAUUGAUCUUAGCUACUUCUGUCCUCAGAAGUAUGCAACCACUUAUAUCGACCACACUCACUAUGUGCUACUUCUAUUCCUGGAAGUACCACCCACAUAUACACACUACACUCUGUGCCAUUUCUAUCCUAGAGACACGCACCCAUGCUGCUCCUACCCUGGGAGUAUGCAUUUCUUCAUCCACCCACAUACAUUCCACAUCCACUUAGGAAAUAUUCUACUCAAAAAUAUCCAUGGCCAUUAUGUCUUAUUCUACUUAUCCAAUAAAGCUCCAGUUAUUUUAGUUGAUACUCCAUGUUAUUAUCAGUGCAUUAGAAGGGAUGGCUGAUCUCUAAAAAAAUGAGAAAAGAAAGAAAGAGGACAAAAGUCCCAAUGCAAAAGAAAAGAAAAGAAAGACAGCCAAGUCCUUAUUCUUAGACUAGGGAGGUAUGUUUCCCCAAGGAGCAAAUGUAGAAGUAGAUAUUCACCAUUAGUUAUCACCCCUCAUAAUCACUUUCAUUCUUAUCACUUCACCUCACUCACAUGCACAUAUGACAUGAUUGUAUAAUUAGUUUCUCUAGAUCUAUGGUUUAACUAUGCAAUAUAUGUAAGUAGGUUUGAAUAAUCUUUCCCACCUAUGAGCUCGACAUUAGCCAAUUAGAAAUAGGGUGAGAGAGAGAAGGCAAUUAUGCCUUAGUCCUACAAAUAUCAUAUAUUCUGAGAGCA